rnacentral:lncRNA from 1 species
UAAAUUAGAAGUGCUUGAAUGUUGUAUAUAUAAGUAAACUUAUUGUUUUUCUUUUAAAAUAUUUUAUUUUGUCUUUACUCCAAAAAAUUAUUUAUAUCGUUCAAGAUGAGGAAAUUCUUGCAAAUCUCGCUAACCGUUUUAACUAUCCUCAUCCUUAUUGUGCUAGGUUUGCUUAGAUAAAUGUUUCAAAAUUCAUAUAUCUUUUUGUUUCAUAAAUUUGAUGGUCUGAAAAAUGUUUUCAAUUUUGUUAUAUAUAUUUAUAAUUCUGUUAUAUUUCUCGCGAAGAAAAAGAGUUUAUUUGAAUUUUAUGUUCUAUAUACAAAAUAAAAAUGAAAUCACAACUACUAAAAUUUUAUGUAUUUAUUACAGGAGGAUCAGAGACUGCAGCAUUCAAACUUUGUCAAGGUACUUAUUAUAAUAACAAAAAAGGGACAUGGAAAUUACAAGAAUGUCAAAGCUUAUGCUACAAGAAGCAUCAAUCCGGCGGGGAUAUAAGGGAAGAGGACAAGGAGAAAGGACUUCACACUAUUGUUUGCCAAUGCGUUUUUAGGUGUUAGAUAAACCAUGAAACGACUUUGUCUUGAGGGACUUAGCGAAUCAUUGUCGUUAUGAGUUUAUAUGAUAAUGCAAACUAGGAGAAAAAUAUCAUUAAAAUCCUGAAUUUUCAAAUCCAUGAUGAUUUAAUCAUGAAUUUUUAAGAAGUCAUUUUAAUCAUAAAGUUUAUGUUGAUUUUUCCAUAAAAAUAAUUAAGUUUUUGUUGAUUUUAUUGAUUUAAACAUGACGUUUAAUUUCUCUUA